CAAACAAGGCGCGGCAUACAGCUCAGUAACCCCUUUUUUAUCUGCCCUUGGGACAAAAACAACCCCGGGAAACUGGUUUUUAUUUUUGACAGAAGAAGAACUCCGGAGAGAGUCUUCGUUUAAAAAACUUCACGUUAUGUUCGAGAUGUUGCCUUUGGAGAAGGCCCCGCCCCAUCAGGUUGGUGGGGAGGUAAGGGCCCACCAAGCCUUUUACCGGUGCGGGCCGGAAGAGCGGGAGCCCGAAGAUGGUCACUAAAACAAGGGCCCAGGCCCUACGGGGGGCAACAUUCGCAAAAACUUUGCUAUACACGAAAGUGUGAGGGGGCUAUCCCAAGUGCCUUCCGCUGAGGAGGGCUUUUACCUAGUAUAGAUCGCUAGGGGAAUAAGGAGAGGGCAAGUCUGGUGUCAGCCGCCGCGGUAAUACCAGCUCUCCGAGGGGUGUGAAUGUUUAUUGGGCCUAAAGCAUCCGUCAGGGGCUAAGUUAGUCCCUUGAUAAAACCAAAGAAUUAAACGGUGGAUAGCGGGGCAUACUGCUUGGCUAGGGGACAAAACAAGAAAACGGUACUUUCGGGGAAGGGGUGAAAUCCUAUAAUCCCGGCAAAGACCCACCAGUCGAAGAAGGGUUCCUGCUACAACCCACCCGACGGUGAGGGAAUAAAGGUGGGGUAACUAAACCGAUUAGAUCCCCGGGUAUUCCCAGCCGUAAACGAUGCAGGGUAGGGGGUUGGACGGGUUCGUGCCAUUUUAUUGUCCCAGCAAACUGUUAAGCCUACCCUGGGGGAAUACCAUCGCCUAUUGAAACUUCAAGGAAAUGCCGCAUCCCUG
rnacentral:rRNA from 1 species